AUUGAACGCUGGCGGCAUGCCUUACACAUGCAAGUCGAACGGCAGCACGGGGCAACCUGGUGGCGAGUGGCGAACGGGUGAGUAAUGCAUCGGAACGUGCCAUUGAGUGGGGGAUAACGUAGCGAAAGUUGCGCUAAUACCGCAUAUUCUGUGAGCAGGAAAGCAGGGGACCGCAAGGCCUUGCGCUCUUUGAGCGGCCGAUGUCAGAUUAGCUAGUUGGUGAGGUAACGGCUUACCAAGGCGACGAUCUGUAGCGGGUCUGAGAGGAUGAUCCGCCACACUGGAACUGAGACACGGUCCAGACUCCUACGGGAGGCGGCAGUGGGGAAUUUUGGACAAUGGGCGCAAGCCUGAUCCAGCCAUGCCGCGUGAGUGAAGAAGGCCUUCGGUUGGUUAAAGG
rnacentral:rRNA from 1 species